rnacentral:rRNA from 1 species
AAAGGAAUUGACGGGGCCCCGCACAAGCAGUGGAUUAUGUGGUUUAAUUCGACGAAACGCGAAAAACCUUACCGGGGUUUGACAUCCUACUAACGAAGCAGAAAUGCAUUAGGUGCCCUUCGGGGAAAGUAGAGACAGGUGGUGCAUGGUUGUCGUCAGCUCGUGUCGUGAGAUGUUGGGUUAAGUCCCGCAACGAGCGCAACCCUUAUUGUCAGUUGCUACGAAAGAGCACUCUGGCGAGACUGCCGUUGUAAAACGGAGGAAGGCGGGGACGAUGUCAAAUCAUCAUGCCCCUUAUAUCCCGGGCUACACACGUAAUACAAUGGCGCAUAACAAUGGGAGGCAAUGCCGUAAGGCGGAGCGAAACCCUAAAAGGCGUCCCAGUUCGGAUCGAGGGCUGCAACUCGCCCUCGUGAAGUCGGAAUUGCUAGUAAUCGCGGAUCAGCAUGCCGCGGUGAAUACGUUCCCGGGGCUUGUACACACCGCCCGU